GAAACGUCAACCCCGCACCACCACCCGGUGGAUCAGACGGGGACCGCCUCACCGCAAGGCGAGGCUGCC
rfam:Mycobacterium heraklionense strain Davo contig_15, whole genome shotgun sequence.